GAACUCAAAAUAACCAAGAAAUGCAGUUGAUUGUUUAUUGAAAGUAAAUGGAAAAAUACAGAGAGGGAGUAGUAAUCCCAGAUUCUGACCAGAGCUCAGCUCCUAUAGGAAGCUCAUUGCUUCCUAUUCAUUCUAAUUCCUCGAAUGAUCAAAAGAUACCCUCAACCUCUCACUCUAUUCCUUAAUAUCUAGACGGUUACAACCAACUCUACUGUGGGGUCCUUAAUUCUGAUUGACCUUCCUACCCUUUCUGGAAUAUACCUUCCACACCUUAGGCCCAGCUGAUCCAUGUAGUGCUAAUGGGCCUUCCACUGGAUCGCAGGUCCUAACAACACCCCCUCCUAAAACAGCAACCUUGUCCUCAAGGUUGAAUGCAGGAAACUGACUGCUGAUUGUGAGUGUGUCUUCCCAAAUAGCCUCCUCUUCAAGCUUUCCUUUCCAAUGCACCAACACUUGGUGAACCUCAGCGCCCUGCUGUUGCACUGUACGCGUUGCCAGAAUGUUGUCAGGUUCAAUCAGAUCAGAACUUUCUCCUUCCAAUUGCGUAGGAAGUUCUUCCUCCUCUGUGUACUCCCCUACCGCUUUCUUAAGCAAAGAGACGUGGAAUACUGGAUGAACUCGGGAACCUUCUGGCAAUUUCAACUUGUAAGCCACUGCUCCUAUGCGUUCUAUCACCGGAUACGGCCCAUAAUAUCGAGCAGCCAAUUUCGCGUGAACUCGAGUCACCACCGAUUGUUGCCGAUGGGCUCUUAACUUAACGAAGACCCACUCCCCAAUGGCAAACGAGCGGUCCACACGCUUAGCAUCCACCUGCGACUUCAUACGAGUUUGGGCUCGCAGGAGCUGAGUUUUAAGUUGCCGGAGAGCUUCGUCUCGAUCAACCAGCUCCUGUUGGACAGUGGCGACGCGCGUUUCUCCCAAUCCCCAUCGCGCGAGAGCGGGAGGCUUGCGGCCAUAAACAACUUCAAAUGGGGUGAGCUGGGUCGCGGAAUGGUACGUGGUGUUGAACCAGUACUCCGCCCAGUGCAUCCACAUAGCCCAGGUCUUAGGUUGAUCAGCGGAAAAACACCGAAGGUAGGUUUCAAGGCAACGGUUGGUCACCUCCGUUUGCCCAUCCGAUUCCGGAUGAUACGCUGAACUGAGCUUCAGUUGUGUCCCUUGGAGCUUGAAAAGCUCUUUCCAGAAGUGACUCAUAAAUAUGGGGUCGCGAUCGCUUACGAUUGUGGACGGAAUUCCAUGUAAGCGUAUAACUUCCUUGGUGAAAAUUUCUGCAAUGCUACGAGCUGUAUAAGGGUGUUUCAGAGGAAUGAAAUGGCUGUAUUUUGACAAGCGGUCGACGACGACAAGAAUCGCCUCAUAGCCCCUCGAUUUUGGAAGUCCUGUGACAAAAUCGAUUGAGAUGUCUUCCCAAAUCCGCUCAGGAAUCGGAAGAGGUUGCAGAAGGCCCCCUGGAGAAGUAGCAAGAUACUUUUGUCGUUGGCAAAUGUCACAACGUCGAACAAAUUCCUGAAUAACAUUCUUCAUUCCCACCCAGUACAAGUUGGCCGCUAACCUGCGAUAUGUUCGCAAAAAACCCGAAUGCCCUCCCUGGGGAGAGUUAUGGAACUCGUGGAGCAUUUUUGGGAUCAUUUGAGAGUGCUUGGACAGGACCAAGCGGUCUUUGUAGAACAGAACACCCUGUUGGAGCCUGAACUCGGGGUGCGACAUUAGGUCCUCUUGCUUCUCUUUAAUUACUUGCUGUAAGUGUGGGUCAGCAAGGAUCUCUUCUUGGACCUGACGUUGUUCAUCCCAACUUGGGUAAGACAGCAGGGUCUGCAACUCCAUUCCUUCUUGGAUUCGUGAAAGAGCAUCCGCUCCCCUGUUCAAUUUUCCUGGCUUGUAGCGAAUCUCGAAGUCAUACCCAAGCAAUUUAGCAGUCCAAUUCUGUUGAUCUCCUGUGGCCACUCGCUGCUGUAGUAGUUCCUUGAGACUCUUCUGGUCGGUAGUAACCACGAAUCUCCUACCUAGAAGAUAAGGCCGCCAAUGUUGUAUGGCCAACGCGAUUGCCAUCAGCUCCUUGUCAUACGCUGAUUUAGCCAAAUUUCUCACCCCAAGUGCCUUGCUAUAAUAUGCUAUGGGAUUCUUUCCCUGCAUCAGGAUUGCUCCUAAUCCCGUGCCCGACGCGUCGCAUUCGAUUAAGAAUUCCUUCUCAAAGUUAGGAAGUGUCAACACCGGAGCUGUGGUGAGUUUCUCCUUAAGAGUGUCAAAUGCUAGCUGUGCAUCAGAGUUCCAGCAGAAGGCAUCUUUCUUUGUCAGGUCAGUGAGUGGUUUUGCUACCUUUCCGUAAUCCUGAAUGAAUUUCCGGUAAUAACCGGUCAAUCCCAAGAACCCUCUCACUCCUUUCACAGUUUUUGGGGUUGGCCACUCACGCACGCUCACUAUUUUGCUGGGAUCAACCUCUACCCCUUGUGCUGAGAUCAAAUGCCCCAAGUACUCCACCUUGUCACGAGCGAAUUGGCACUUCUUCUUAUUUGCGGUCAGCUGAUGUGUGCGCAAGGUUUCCAGCACUGUGCUCAAAUGUUCCAUGUGAGUAGUCCAAUCCUUGCUAUAUACGAGUAUGUCGUCGAAGAAAACAAGGACAUACUUGCGGAGCAUGGGCCUGAAAACUUCGUUCAUCAGACUUUGGAAAGUUGACGGGGCGUUCAUCAAGCCAAAUGGCAUGACGAGGAAUUCGUAAUGCCCUUCAUGAGUGCGGAAAGCGGUCUUGUGUACAUCCUCUGCUUUUACUCGCACUUGGUGAUAUCCAGAUUUUAAAUCAAGCUUUGAGAAGAAGCUUGCCCCAUGUAACUCGUCUAACAAUUCCUCAAUAACUGGUAUUGGGAAUUUGUCAGGUACUGUCACCUUGUUCAAGGCCCUGUAGUCAACGCACAUUCUCCAUGUUUGAUCCUUCUUCUUGACAAGAAUGACAGGGCUGGAAUAUGCACUGGUGCUGUUGCGUAUGAUCCCAGAUUCUAACAUCUCCUUCACUUGCUUCUCGAUUUCAUUCUUGUGCAGGUAUGGGUAUCGGUAUGGUCGCACACUAAUUGGUCCAUGUCCUUCCCUGAUAUUGAUACAAUGCUCUUUCCCUCUACUGGGUGGUAAACCAACCCGUUCAGUGAAUAUGUCAGCGUACCGUUCCAAGACACACUUCAACUCUGUGUGUAAGGCUACUGGCAGAAUUGGCUCUUCUGGUUGUUCAAUUCUGCAAUUCCCCACUGUCCGCAAUUCCCCUUGUUCAGUUCUAGGGACUCUCCUGACAAUGCUUUGAAGGGCUACUGGAGCUUCUUGCCCUGCUUCGAUUCCUAGUAGCGUGACCCAAUGUGUUCCAUCCCAGAACUUCAUUGAGCGUUUGCUCCAAUUGAUUAAGGUAUCUCCUAGAGUCUUCAACCACUCAAUCCCCAGCACGAGAUCCGGUCCUCCUAACUCGAAGAGAUAUGGAGUGCAUUUGAGUGAGUAUGACCCGAGCUCCAACUUCACCAAUUUGCUCCUGCCCUGGGUGUGUGUUCGAUAUCCAUCCCCGAGCUUGAUCGACAUCCUGGGAGUGUCUUCGGUUUCCCAUCCCAUCCUCUGAACUAAUUUUUGCUCGAUGAAGUUGUGAGUGGCCCCACUGUCCACUAGUACUAGCACCGGAACCCCAUGAAUCUUUCCUUGGAGCUUCAUGGUUUGAGGAUUGGCAUCGGGCUCGUGAGAGAGGUUGAACAAGCCCAUUAUGCUCAGCUCUCCUUCCAGAUCCCCUUCUUGUUCUUCCAUCUCCAUUGCCAAAAGCUUGCUAUCUUCUGCAUCAUCGUCGCCGUCUUCAACAAUAAGCACGCGGAGCUGCUUAUCGGGGCACUGAUGCAUGGGAUGGUAAGGCCCACCGCAUUUGAAACAUUUCCCUUUUUGCUUACGGUCCAGCAGUUCUUGGUAAGUGAGGUGGGAAAAACCACGAUCCCUUGGCCCAACACGACGCGUUUCACCUUGGGCCUGCUGUUCAACCCUUGGCCCAUUUUGUCCAGUUUUUGUUACUGCGGCCCCAUUGUCUUUUGCCCCACGUACCCAGAUCCAGUCACUCCCUCCCGGUUUACUUGACCCGUUCGCUCCGGGCCGAAAACCCGGUCCGUUCCCUCUGGAUCCCCGAGAAUAACCCGAUCCACUAUCCCCUUUCACCUCCUUCUCUACCACACGCGCAGCCAUCAACAGCUUUGAUCGACUCAUACCCUCCAUUAUCGCCAAGCUUCGAACCUUUCCCCUAAUUUCCUCCUUCAAUCCAUGAAGGAAAUACCCCUGGAAUUGCUUAUCAGGCAAACGAGGGAUCUGGGCUGUUAAAUACUCGAACUCGGUGAUGUAUUCAUCGAUCGACCCACGCUGACGUAACUCUGUCAGCUGUUCGUACACGUCGCCCUCCCCAUGGCCACCGUACCGCUCCAGAAGUGCGUCACGAAGCUUCUCCCACGACAGUGCAGCAUCGGCUUCCAGUAGUGAAUUGAAGAAGUGGAUGGUUGGGCCCUCCAUGCUCAACUGUGAUAGACUCACCUUCACCGCCGGUGAUGUACCUUGCACCCGGAAAUAGACCUCAGCUCGUGAGAUCCAACCGGCUGGGUCCUCUCCGUUGAACAUCGGCAGCUCUACCUUCUUGGCAGAGUGUCGAAAUUCCAGCAAUGCAUCUCCCUGCAACCCACUUGAUUCUCCGGCGCUGGGUAUAGCUCCCAUCGGUUGUGGUGUUCCUCCGUUCCUUUGAUUCACGCUCUCUUCUCCGAUCUGUACUGAUUUUCCCAUCGAUUUCUCCAGCAUAGCAACCAGCGUUGCAGGUAAGUCCUUGACCGCGGUGGUCACCGCCGCGAGAGACGAUCGCAUCUCCGCGAGCUCACCCUCCAAUGCAUCGACCUUGGCCUCCAUCUUCUGACCGGUGUGCUUGGUCUUCUUCGGUGGCAUUCACUGAUUUCGGAAUGGGUAUCCGGCAGGUCGGACCAGUUUGUUGGAAACCCAACAAUCUGGAUUCAACAAUGAGCAGAAAGAACUCAAAAUAACCAAGAAAUGCAGUUGAUUGUUUAUUGAAAGUAAAUGGAAAAAUACAGAGAGGGAGUAGUAAUCCCAGAUUCUGACCAGAGCUCAGCUCCUAUAGGAAGCUCAUUGCUUCCUAUUCAUUCUAAUUCCUCGAAUGAUCAAAAGAUACCCUCAACCUCUCACUCUAUUCCUUAAUAUCUAGACGGUUACAACCAACUCUACUGUGGGGUCCUUAAUUCUGAUUGACCUUCCUACCCUUUCUGGAAUAUACCUUCCACACCUUAGGCCCAGCUGAUCCAUGUAGUGCUAAUGGGCCUUCCACUGGAUCGCAGGUCCUAACAGUGCCACCAAUUUUUGGUCGCAUGUCUCUGAGUUUCGGGAAAGAAGUAGAAGAAGGAAGUAGUGUAAAUGUAUCUUAAGAUUAUCAACAUGUUUGGAUGCAAACCAAAAAACACUUAUUGGAGCUUAUCUAGUGCUUUUUCUAGAAGAUAAGCUCCAAUAAAUCCGUAUCCAAACAGACUCUAUAUACUGGAGCAGGAUUGUCUCGUGUGGAGGACACCUGUGGUCUUUAGACCAAAAAGUUCAUAUACUAGAUCUACCAGUCUCAAACAUUCUGCUGGUUUGGACUUUGGAGAGCUAAAC
rnacentral:lncRNA from 1 species